CAGUCGCCACGGGAAUACGAAGGGUGCAAGCGUUAAUCGGAAUUACUGGGCGUAAAGCGCGCGUAGGUGGUUUGGUAAGAUGGAUGUGAAAUCCCCGGGCUCAACCUGGGAACUGCAUCCAUAACUGCCUGACUAGAGUACGGUAGAGGGUGGUGGAAUUUCCUGUGUAGCGGUGAAAUGCGUAGAUAUAGGAAGGAACACCAGUGGCGAAGGCGACCACCUGGACUGAUACUGACACUGAGGUGCGAAAGCGUGGGGAGCAAACAGGAUUAGAUACCCCAGUAGUCCCUGUCUCUUAUAU
rnacentral:rRNA from 1 species